AGAGCGAACGCUGGCGGCAGGCCUAACACAUGCAAGUCGAGCGGCCGUAGCAAUACGGCAGCGGCAGACGGGAGAGUAACACGUGGGAACGCGCCCUUCGGUUCGGAAUAACUCAGGGAAACUUGAGCUAAUACCGAAUACGCCCUUACGGGGAAAGAUUUAUUGCCGAAGGAACGGCCCGCGUCCGAUUAGCUAGUUGGUGAGGUAAUGGCUCACCAAGGCGACGAUCGGUAGCUGGUCUGAGAGGAUGACCAGCCUCACUGGGACUGAGACACGGCCCAGACUCCUACGGGAGGCAGCAGUGGGGAAUAUGGACAAUGGGCGCAAGCCUGAUCCAGCCAUGCCGCGUGGAUGAUGAAGGCCUUAGGGUUGUAAAGUCCUUUUAACGGGAAGAUAAUGACGGUACCGUAGAAUAAGCCCGGCUAACUUCGUGCCAGCAGCCGC
rnacentral:rRNA from 1 species